UAUGUUUUGGGAAAACUGGCCUCAGCUCAGCUGGACCCUGCCAGGGGCCGUGAUGAAGAUAGGGCAGAGUGCAGGGGCCUGAGGGAAAGAGAACAAUUACAGUUUUGUUAGUGAGCAUCUUAUUCUUGUUGAUUAGUGGGGACAUACAGUUCAGCUUAUCACUCAUGAAGGAAUGUACUGACAGAGUUUGUGGACUCAAAAGGCUUCCAUAGCCUUGGCAGCUCAUGACAAGACCUCAGGUGAUCACUGACAUCAUAAAGAGUGUCCACUGUUAAAUCAACAACAGGAGUCACUGUGCACUUGCUCCCCCUGUAGGACCUCUGUCCUUAAUGAGUUCUACUAUGAGAACUAAAGAUGCCCAAGAAACAGGCGACGCUGGGAGACUGAAACUGAACUUUUCUUCUUGCUUCCUCACUCAAAAACAGCGAGAAGUCAAGAGGUCAGCAUCUUUGCUUGCGGCCUGAGUGACAGUGCUGUGUUUGCAGUGCACGGUCCCAGCAUUGGAGUCCACCAGACUACAGCCACCCCCAGCAGAUGAAGAAGUUGCAGUUCAAAAUGACGGGUGAUGGUCUCAUAGAACCUUGAUUCCGACUCAAGAGAGACUUGAAUUUCACAUUGCACAAUUCCAGUAAAAUAUGACAGCAGUUUCAGUUUUUCUGCAAAUCAAGGUUAACUGUUCCAGAAUUAUUUUAAUGCAAAAGACUGGCAAUAAACCAUGUACUUUCCCAAGAAGAAGAUUGUUGAGGAUUGAAUGUGUUCCUCAAA